rnacentral:rRNA from 1 species
AGUCAGCAAUGGAUGCCUUGGUUCAGAAGACUGUUAAGGAUACAGCCAAGUGUGGUUUGCAGUACGACUUGCACAAGUCCGUGAGCAUGUGAAAGCUGAACGCCGCAUGUGCCCUUGGGACAGUCCGAAAGGUGUGCUCAAUUUGAAGCAG